AAGUCGUAACAAGGUUUCCGUAGGUGAACCUGCGGAAGGAUCAUCAUCGAAUUCAUAUCCCCCUCCUCAACCGGAGGGGGACCCAUGAUAAACCCUUCUGUGCACCGUAAACCGUUCACUUUGGCAGGCUUUGGUGGUGAGCGUGAGCUCGCCUCCAACCUCGCGUUCCCUCCCUAAGGGGUGUUACGCGUGGCGGCCUGCCGGAGUCCUAUUAAAAAACUCGUUUUCGAACACGUCUGAAAAUUUCCUUUGAGAAAUCAAAGAACCGAAAACAACUUUCAACAACGGAUCUCUUGGCUCUC
rnacentral:misc_RNA from 1 species